UACGUAGGGUGCAAGCGUUGUCCGGAAUUAUUGGGCGUAAAGAGCUCGUAGGCGGUCUGUCGCGUCGAAUGUGAAAACCCGGGACUCAACUCCGGGCCUGCAUUCGAUACGGGCAGACUAGAGUUCGGUAGGGGAGACUGGAAUUCCUGGUGUAGCGGUGAAAUGCGCAGAUAUCAGGAGGAACACCGGUGGCGAAGGCGGGUCUCUGGGCAAUAACUGACGCUGAGGAGCGAAAGCGUGGGGAGCAAACAGG
rnacentral:rRNA from 1 species